rnacentral:rRNA from 1 species
CGACACGACCGUACCGCAAACCGACACUGGUGCGCGAGAUGAGUAUUCUAAGGCGCUUGAGAGAACUCAGGAGAAGGAACUCGGCAAAUUGACACCGUAACUUCGGAAGAAGGUGUGCCUUUAGUAGGUGAACCUGUACAAGGGGAGCCCAAUGAGGUUGCAAAAAAUCGGUGGCUGCGACUGUUUAAUAAAAACACAGCACUCUGCAAACACGAAAGUGGACGUAUAGGGUGUGACGCCUGCCCGGUGCUGGAAGAUUAAAUGAUGGGGUGCAAGCUCUUGAUUGAAGUCCCAGUAAACGGCGGCCGUAACAAUAACGGUCCUAAGGUAGCGAAAUUCCUUGUCGGGUAAGUUCCGACCUGCACGAAUGGCGUAACGAUGGCCACACUGUCUCCUCCUGAGACUCAGCGAAGUUGAAAUGUUUGUGAUGAUGCAAUCUCCCCGCGGAAAGACGGAAAGACCCCAUGAACCUUUACUGUAGCUUUGUAUUGGACUUUGAACAGAUCUGUGUAGGAUAGGUGGGAGGCUUUGAAGUGUGGUCGCUAGAUCGCAUGGAGCCAACGUUGAAAUACCACCCUGGUGUGUUUGAGGUUCUAACCUAGGCCCGUAAUCCGGGUCGGGGACAGUGCAUGGUAGGCAGUUUGACUGGGCGGUCUCCUCCCAAAGCGUAACGGAGGAGUUCGAAGGUACGCUAGGUACGGUCGGACAUCGUGCUAAUAGUGCAAUGGCAUAAGCGUGCUUAACUGCGAGACUGACAAGUCGAGCAGAUGCGAAAGCAGGACAUAGUGAUCCGGUGGUUCUGUAUGGAAGGGCCAUCGCUCAACGGAUAAAAGGUACUCUGGGGAUAACAGGCUGAUACCGCCCAAGAGUUCAUAUCGACGGCGGUGUUUGGCACCUCGAUGUCGGCUCAUCUCAUCCUGGGGCUGUAGCCGGUCCCAAGGGUAUGGCUGUUCGCCAUUUAAAGAGGUACGUGAGCUGGGUUUAAAACGUCGUGAGACAGUUUGGUCCCUAUCUUCCGUGGGCGCUGCAGAUUUGAGGAAGCCUGCUCCUAGUACGAGAGGACCGGAGUGGACACACCUCUGGUGUAUCGGUUGUCACGCCAGUGGCAUUGCCGAGUAGCUAUGUGUGGAAGAGAUAACCGCUGAAAGCAUCUAAGCGGGAAACUCGUUUCAAGAUGAGAUCUGCCGGGGCCUUGAGCCCCCUAAAGAGUCGUUCAAGACCAGGACGUUGAUAGGUCGGGUGUGGAAGCGCAGUAAUGCGUUAAGCUAACCGAUACUAAUUGCUCGUGCGGCUUGACC